CGUAAAUGAGAAGCCUCUGGUUAUGGAAGUGGAUACAGGGGCAUCAGCCAUCGUGAUGGGGGUCAGCAAUGUAUCAGACUGCAGCUUCUCUAUGGAUCAUGGAUUUUCAAUCAGUACCAAGGACAGCAACUGUUGCAGUGAAAGAUUUGGAAUAAAGAACCACAAGUAUGAGAACGUCACUAAAAUCCAACAGGGAAUUCAGCAAGCAGUUCUUUAUCCAAAGAUUGGGGAAGAUGAUGCAUAACAUCCAGGAGAGGUGUCUAAGUGGCAAUGGAGUCCCAUUACUGGCAAUCCUGAUGCCAAUUGAGGAAGGUGCCGUGGAGAUUGGCAGUAUGACAGCAGACCAGACUGUCGCCGCAGGAGAGGAGUUUGCAGCAGAGAGUGGGU